CGUCGCUGGAUUUGUGAUGACGCCAAGCCGACGAAUCAUCGCGGCUGGAGUCGGAUCUGCCAUUAUGGGCGUGGUCGGAGG
rnacentral:sRNA from 1 species